UUUAAUUGUAAUAUUUAGAAAAUCUCAGUUAAAAACUUUUCGUUUAUUUAAUUCAUCAAUUUCAGUUUAAGAGAAAUGGGGUUUUCAUAGCAACAAUAUGAAAUAUUUGAAGGAGAUUAGUUUGUGUGCCAAUAACAUCGGUUCUUUCAUCAUUGGUCAAUGGAAAGCCAACGGUUGAACUGUUUAUCCUACCAAUCCUUCCACCAAUCAGGUUUGGUUCCUUAAAUUUCCAACAAUGAGAAGGAUAACACUAGAAUUAAGGAAAAAUUACCAUCGAAGAAAGUGAUGUGUUUUCAUAUGCAGUUGUUGAAUAUUCGUAUCGUGGAGUUAAGGAUCACUUUCUAGAAACCCUUUCAAGUUCUUUGGAGUACAAUGAUUUUAAUAUUAAGAAGAUAAGUUUUUCGGAU